UAGGGAAUAUUGCUUAAUGGGCGCAAGCCUGAAGCAGCAACGCCGCGUGUGCGAUGACGGCCUUCGGGUUGUAAAGCACUUUUCACCGGGAAGAGGAAGGACGGUACCGGUGGAAUAAGCCUCGGCUAACUACGUGCCAGCAGCCGCGGUAAUACGGAGGAUCCGAGCGUUAUCCGGAUUUACUGGGUUUAAAGGGUGCGUAGGCGGCCCUGCAAGUCAGCGGUGAAAUGUGGCGGCUCAACCGUUUCGCUGCCGCUGAUACUGUAGGGCUUGGAUGCGGUCGAGGCGGGUGGAAUUCGUGGUGUAGCGGUGAAAUGCAUAGAUAUCACGAGGAACGCCGAUAGCGAAGGCAGCUCGCCGGGCCGCGAUCGACGCUGAGGCACGAAAGCGUGGGGAUCAAACA
rnacentral:rRNA from 1 species